AUUGGGACUGAGACCCGGCCCAAAUUUCUACGGGAGGCUGCAGUAGGGAAUCUUCCACAAUGGGCGAAAGCCUGAUGGAGCAACGCCGCGUGUGUGAUGAAGGCUUUCGGGUCGUAAAGCACUGUUGUAUGGGAAGAAAAGUUAAGGUAGGGAAUGACCUUAGCCUGACGGUACCAUACCAGAAAGGGACGGCUAAAUACGUGCCAGCAGCCGCGGUAAUACGUAUGUCCCGAGCGUUAUCCGGAUUUAUUGGGCGUAAAGCGAGCGCAGACGGUUGGUUAAGUCUGAUGUGAAAGCCCGGAGCUCAACUCCGGAAAGGCAUUGGAAACUGGUUAACUUGAGUGCAGUAGAGGUAAGUGGAACUCCAUGUGUAGCGGUGGAAUGCGUAGAUAUAUGGAAGAACACCAGCGGCGAAGGCGGCUUACUGGACUGUAACUGACGUUGAGGCUCGAAAGUGUGGGUAGCAAACAGGAUUAGAUACCCUGGUAGUCCACACCGUAAACGAUGAACACUAGGUGUUAGGAGGUUUCCGCCUCUUAGUGCCGAAGCUAACGCAUUAAGUGUUCCGCCUGGGGAGUACGACCGCAAGGUUGAAACUCAAAGGAAUUGACGGGGACCCGCACAAGCGGUGGAGCAUGUGGUUUAAUUCGAAGCAACGCGAAGAACCUUACCAGGUCUUGACAUCCUUUGAAGCUUUUAGAAAUAGAAGUGUUCUCUUCGGAGACAAAGUGACAGGUGGUGCAUGGUCGUCGUCAGCUCGUGUCGUGAGAUGUUGGGUUAAGUCCCGCAACGAGCGCAACCCUUAUUGUUAGUUGCCAGCAUUCAGAUGGGCACUCUAGCGAGACUGCCGGUGACAAACCGGAGGAAGGCGGGGACGACGUCAGAUCAUCAUGCCCCUUAUGACCUGGGCUACACACGUGCUACAAUGGCGUAUACAACGAGUUGCCAACCUGCGAAGGUGAGCUAAUCUCUUAAAGUACGUCUCAGUUCGGACUGCAGUCUGCAACUCGACUGCACGAAGUCGGAAUCGCUAGUAAUCGCGGAUCAGCACGCCGCGGUGAAUACGUUCCCGGGUCUUGUACACACCGCCCGUCACACCAUGGAAGUUUGUAAUGCCCAAAGCCGGUGGCCUAACCGUAAGGAGGGAACCGUCUAA
rnacentral:rRNA from 1 species